AUCAAGUUUGUCCCUAAAGUCUAAUUUAUUUCUGCAAAUGGGUAAAGAAGAUGACAAGGAACAAUUUAGUCAUAUGGUAUUGGUUAGUAAUCUUGAACCGCUUAUAAAAAAUAAUGAAGUAGAGACUGGAGUUAAUGUUAAAGAACAGUGAAGUGUCUUUUGAGUUUUACAUGAAUCCAUUUUUUUCAAAUCUUUUAUAUGAUUUGGAUAUGUUCUUGCAUAGUGCCUUCAUGAAGUUUAUUAAUAUAUGUUUUUCAAAAACCACACUUGGGAUUUCUUACUUUGAGGUUUUAUAAUACUCUAUUUACCGAACUGAUUUACUUCCUUUAUCUCUAAUAACCGUUCCUUUUUUAUUAAAGAAUUUCAUGAUUAAUUGUUGGUUAGGGUUUAUGUUGCUAGGUUUAUGUUUGGAAUAUGAUAUUGGAAUUGCUUGGGCUAGAAGUUCCUGUUGUAGGCUUACCUUAAGUAAUUGUUGAAGAGAAACCGAUGGUCCGAGCAUUAAAUACCAUUGAGUAUAAUCCGUUAUGGUUGCUUCCAUAUCAACUGAGACCUACACAGUAAUUGGAGUACAAGCAUUCUAAGUUUGUUAAUCUGAUUGUUGAAGGGGAACCGAUGGUCCGAGCAUUAGGCCCGGCGGCUGCUUAGAUUCAAACAACUGUGGCCAGAGUCCGUCUUUCUCAGAGCUUGUGGGCUAAACAUGGGGACCGUCAGAUAGAUAUAUCAAUUCAUGGCAACCAGAGUGGCUUCAAAACCUCAUCAACUGGAUGGUUUCAGGUGUUUACAAUAAUUCAGUUUGGAGAAUGUAUAUUAUGGUCAGUUUGCUAUUUUAGUUAUCUUUAAAGUUUCAAUUACUUUUGAUCAACUAAGCGGUUUCACAUUAUAUGUGAAAAAAGGGUAUUUUUCUUUUUCUUUUUUUAACAUUGAGCAAGCAUUUGUAUAUACUAAUCGAUGCCAUUAUGAGUAAAUUUUAGCCCUAAUCUUGCAUAUUGUCAAUGUAGAAUGACAUCAUUAUUUGAUUUACAUUUCAUUUCUACAUCUAAGAAAG